rnacentral:rRNA from 1 species
UAGGGAAUCUUCCACAAUGGACGCAAGUCUGAUGGAGCAACGCCGCGUGAGUGAAGAAGGCUUUCGGGUCGUAAAACUCUGUUAUUGAAGAAGAACGUGUGUGACAGUAACUGGUCAUGCAGUGACGGUAUUCAAUCAGAAAGUCACGGCUAACUACGUGCCAGCAGCCGCGGUAAUACGUAGGUGGCAAGCGUUGUCCGGAUUUAUUGGGCGUAAAGCGAGUGCAGGCGGUCUUUUAAGUCUGAUGUGAAAGCCUUCGGCUUAACCGAAGAAGGGCAUCGGAAACUGGANCUG